rnacentral:rRNA from 1 species
UACGGGGGGGGCAAGCGUUGUUCGGAAUUACUGGGCGUAAAGGGCUCGUAGGCGGCCAACUAAGUCCGACGUGAAAUCCCCAGGCUUAACCUGGGAACUGCGUCGGAUACUGGAUGGCUUGAAUUCGGGAGAGGGAUGCAGAAUUCCAGGUGUAGAGGUGAAAUUCGUAGAUAUUCGCAAGAACACCAGUGGCGAAGGCGGCUCACUGGCCCGGUACUGACGCUGAGGUGCGAAAGCGUGGGGACCAAACAGG